rnacentral:pre_miRNA from 1 species
AAGUCCCUUCCGAUUGCUUGGCACUCGCGAACACCGCGAUCACUUCCAAUAUCGAUCCGCGGAGUUAGCCAGUGUCAACCAAAUGGAUGUUUGAGACUU